rnacentral:rRNA from 1 species
GACGAACGCUGGCGGCGUGCCUAAUACAUGCAAGUAGAACGCUGAAGGAGGAGCUUGCUUCUCUGGAUGAGUUGCGAACGGGUGAGUAACGCGUAGGUAACCUGCCUGGUAGCGGGGGAUAACUAUUGGAAACGAUAGCUAAUACCGCAUAAGAGUAGAUGUUGCAUGACAUUUGCUUAAAAGGUGCAAUUGCAUCACUACCAGAUGGACCUGCGUUGUAUUAGCUAGUUGGUGAGGUAACGGCUCACCAAGGCGACGAUACAUAGCCGACCUGAGAGGGUGAUCGGCCACACUGGGACUGAGACACGGCCCAGACUCCUACGGGAGGCAGCAGUAGGGAAUCUUCGGCAAUGGACGGAAGUCUGACCGAGCAACGCCGCGUGAGUGAAGAAGGGUGUCGGAUCGUAAAGCUCGGUUGUAAGAGAAGAACGAGUGUGAGAGUGGAAAGUUCACACUGUGACGGUAUCUUACCAGAAAGGGACGGCUAACUACGUG